UCGGCUUAGAGUUUGAUCAUGGCUCAGAUUGAACGCUGGCGGCAGGCUUAACACAUGCAAGUCGAGCGGUAGGGGAGCUUGUUCCCCACGAGCGGGAGAGGGGAGAGUAAUGUCUGGAAAACUGCCUGAUGGAGGGGGAUAACUACUGGAAACGGUAGCUAAUACCGCAUAACGUCGCGAGACCAAAGAGGUUCGUCUUGCCCUCAUAUGUGCCCA
rnacentral:rRNA from 1 species